AACGGCGAGUGAAGCGGCAACAGCUCAAAUUUGAAAUCUGGCCCUCGGGUCCGAGUUGUAAUUUGUAGAGGAUGCUUUUGGUGAGGUACCUUCCGAGUUCCCUGGAACGGGACGCCAUAGAGGGUGAGAGCCCCGUCUGGUUGGAUACCGAUCCUCUGUAAAGCUCUUUCGACGAGUCGAGUAGUUUGGGAAUGCUGCUCUAAAUGGGAGGUAUAUGUCUUCUAAAGCUAAAUAUUGGCCAGAGACCGAUAGCGCACAAGUAGAGUGAUCGAAAGAUGAAAAGCACUUUGAAAAGAGAGUUAAAAAGUACGUGAAAUUGUUGAAAGGGAAGCGCUCAUGACCAGACUUGGGCUUGGUUGAUCAUCUAGGGUUCUCCCUAGUGCACUCUUCCGGCUCAGGCCAGCAUCAGUUCGCCGCGGGGGAUAAAGGCUUUGGGAAUGUGGCUCCUCCGGGAGUGUUAUAGCCCGCUGCGUAAUACCCUGUAGUGGACUGAGGUUCGCGCAUCUGCAAGGAUGCUGGCAUAAUGGUCAUCAGCGACCCGUCUUGAAACACGGACCAAGGAGUCGUCUUCGUAUGCGAGUGUUCGGGUGUUAAACCCCUACGCGUAAUGAAAGUGAACGCAGGUGAGAGCUUCGGCGCAUCAUCGACCGAUCCUGAUGUUCUCGGAUGGAUUUGAGUAAGAGCAUACGGGGCCGGACCCGAAAGAAGGUGAACUAUGCCUGUAUAGGGUGAAGCCAGAGGAAACUCUGGUGGAGGCUCGCAGCGGUUCUGACGUGCAAAUCGAUCGUCAAAUAUGGGCAUGGGGGCGAAAGACUAA
rnacentral:rRNA from 1 species